rnacentral:snoRNA from 1 species
UUGUUAGCUGUGAUGGAAAUAAUCUACCUAUUUUCUGAAGGGGAGGCGGUUUACCAUCGUCUCUCUUCUGAUCGAAGAAAAUACCAAUGGAUCCUUCUGAGCUUUCU